GGCAGGGCCUGGAAUUGCCAGGCAGUAAAGACCUACAGGCACCCCUCCCCUUCUUCCCCAUCCCCAGUUCCAAAAGAAUAGCUGUGUCCCCUCCCUGUGGACGGGGGAGGCCUCCUAGGAGACAUGCCAUAGCAGCCCUGUUCCCUGUCACCCUGCACAGAUCUGAGCAUCAUUACGAGCUGCCAUGGAGGCCCUUCACUACCUUAAACUUCACAACAAGCCUAUGAGGUGUGUAUUAGAAUGAUCCCUAACUGCCAGAUGAGGAAACUAAGGCUCAGUGAGGUAGAGUGAUUUGCCCAAGAACACCCAGUUACAAAGUGAUAAUUUUGAAAUGUGAAGCCCAGCUAACCACAGAAUGAGAGUUCUAACCACUGUAGCACAGGGCUUCUCUGGAAUUUCAGACUUAAGAAUGAAUGAUGAGGCCAGGUGCAGUGGCUCAUAUCUGUAAUCCCAGCACUUUGGGAGGCCGAGGUGGGCGGAUCACUUGAGGUCAGGAGUUCAAAACCGGUCAGGAGUUGAAACACCAUCUCUAGGAAAAUACAAAAAUUAGCAAGUCAUGGUGGUACGCGCCUGCAUUCCAAGCUAUUCACGAGGCUGAGGCAAGGGGAUCGCUUGAGCCCAGGAUGCGGAGGUUGUAGUGAGAUGAGACCGUGCCACUGCACUCUAGCCUGGGUGACAGGGUGAGACUCCGUCUCAAAAAAAAAAAAAAAAAAUGAAUGAAUGAUAUAUAGUUUUCCUUCUCCUGCCAUCUCCUGUUUGAGUCUUUUAGAAACAGAGGAGGCUAAGGAAAGUGAAAAUGAUUCCAAAGGAAACCAAUCCCUGCCCCCAUUUCCUGAUUUGUCCACUGCCAUGCCUCUGACCUCCUGCCUCCUCAGUCUCUGGUGUCCAGCAGGAAAGAAUCCAGGGCUCCAAAUCUCUCCAGGGCCAUGUGAUACCCUGGCCUGCGGGAAGAUGCCCUGGUCACUUUUCCUAGGCUCCUCCAGGUAGCCAAGCCUCAGCCACCAGGGCCACAGACUUCCCUGCUGCCUUGAGGGACCUACGGGACUAGCAGGAGCUGCUCUUCCUCGUACGACUCCUACCCACCCAGGUAACCAAAAACCUACGUGUCCUUCUCAGUGACUCCCUUCCCCCACCCCACCGUGUCCAGUCUAUCCCCAAACACUGAUGCUUCUACCUCUUAAGAGCAUCUCCCCAGUUCCACCUCCUGACCCAGCCCAGGCCUUAUCACCUUUUGCCUGGGGGUUUUGGCAUUACUCAGCUCAUCAACUGCUCAGCCUCCAGUCUCUCCUUCUCCAGUCCACACCGCACCUGAAAGAGCCUUCUAGGAUGACCAUGCCACUCUCCUGUGUGAAACCCUUAUCAAGGGCUCCUGCCUCCAUGCUAUAGGAUGGAGGUGUCAUGACUUAGUCUGGCCGACAAAGACCCUUUACACAUCACCUCUGCUCACUUCUCUGCCUCAUCCCCCUACAACCCCUGCAUCCUGCCAUCCAGGAUGAAUGGUCCCCCCAAACCCAAGCUUCUUUGACACCUCCCUGUUUUGGCUCAGUUAGGACCUCCUGCCUGAUACCUGAACUUUGUGGGAUCAACUUCACAUCCCCCAAAACAGACCUGCUGGGGACAAAGAGCAUGACACACAGAGCAUCAAAGUAGCAGUCCAGAAGCCCUGUGCAGGAGGCAGGGUCCAGGACCAUGCCCUCCAGGACAGGCUGGGGGCCGCAGUGCCCCUCAGUGGUCAAGACUUGGACCUGGGCCCAAAUCCUAGCUCCAAUAUUGGGGCUCAUCAUUGAACCCCUCUGUGUCUCAGUUUCCUCACCUGUAAAAUGGGGUAAUAAUAGUAUCUACCUCCUAAAUUGGUUGUGAAGAUUAAAAUAGUUAAUUAUGUAAAGGGCCUGGAACAGGCUUGUCAUACAGCGUUACAUAAAUGCUAGCUGCUUCUAUUAUUAUCACAGUCCAUCCAAGCCCUGCCUCCUUUGACCUUGACCCUUUGAUCGCCAGUGACCUAACAAUUCUCUUUCUCUUGCACACACAUCCUCACAUACAUAUGUGCUGAUGUAUACACACACACCCACGCAUACAAGCAUGUGCCUUGCCAGCCUCCCCACCCUCAGAACUCUUCUCGCACUUCAUGGUCCUUCUGAGUCAGUUUCAGAGCCCACGUUUCUAACUCUCUACCCAUUUGCCACAUCAGAGUUCAAAGUCAAAAGCUUCCCAAGAACCCCACCCAGGUUCCUCCUGCCACCCAGAGGAUUAGACACAUGGAUCCCCAGCCAUUCCUGGCCCCUGCUACACUGCUCAGCAGGUAGGGUGCUGGUGUCUGGUGCGGGGGACUGAGGCUGGUGCAGUGUAACCAGCAGGCAUGUGGACAAAUGGAGAUGGUCCCUGGGAAGAUGGGGAGUUCCUUCCAAAAUGAUUCCAACUCAGGAAUGAUGCCUCCUUUUUUGGCUCCUGCUCCAGCAGAUCCCAGACUCACCCCACUCUAUAGCAGACCCCAAAGCAGGAGCUCCCACCCGAAUUAGACAUUUUUGUUUCCUGGGGAGUUUGCUGUAGUCUGGUCUGCAAAGUGCCAAGGGCUUGCUGACGUGCCAUGGGCAGGAAACAGGACUUCCCUCAUGGUCUCACAGAAGCUUCUAGACAGGGCCCUUGCACACCAGGAAACUUUGUAACACCCAGCUCAGACUAGCACUUUCAUACACCCAAGCGUCUAAUUGGGGGGAAAGGGGGAGGGAGGUGGAGUAAAGCAGAAUGGAAUUUGACUCCAUUACCUCCCCACUGUGUGAUUUCAGGGAUAUCACUUGACCUCUCUGAGCCUGCUUCCUCCUGGAGACAACAGUGUAUACUUAGGGCUAUUGCGGGGAAUGACAAGGAAAAUGGAUGAAAAUGUGCUGGAGAAAUUCUGAGCCCUACCUCUCCCUCUCAAAUCAGAGCCUGUUUGGUGAAGACUUUUCAGGUGUGCCGACUGCCCCAAGCUGACCCAGUGUGGAUCCUAACUGGCCCCACCAGCAUCUUCCAUGCUCACCCAGCUGGCCCAUGUCUUGAAGAUGCCCUGGGCUCCCAGCUCUGCCACCCCAGCUUUCUGAGUCUCCGUGGAUUGGGAUCACUGGGGACCCAGCAGGAAGAAGUUGGAGAAGAUAGGAAGGCAGGACGGGACUAGAAUGAUUCUAGGAUGACCACCCCACUGGCCCCUGCAGCAGAAGGAGCCUCAGCCUGGGCCCUGUCUCUGCCAACGCCCCCUCCCAGCAAAAUGGGCAGCCUAUCUGGGUAAAGACCUGCCCAGACCCCACAGCCAAGGGCAGCCCCUCAGAGAUUCAGGCCAGGAGUGGCCUUUGUUCCCCACACCUGGAGCUCAGAGCUUGCUUAGCCUACAGUGGAAGCUCUGGUUUAAUUAAGGAUCUUAGGAGAGAAUUCUCUCUUGUUAUUUUCUGAAUAAAUUAAGGAAGUAACUUUGA